GGGGAAUUUUCCGCAAUGGGCGAAAGCCUGACGGAGCAAGACCGCGUGGGGGAUGAAGGUUUGUGGAUUGUAAACCCCUUUUGAUUGGGAAGAAUACUGACGGUACCAAUCGAAUAAGCCUCGGCUAACUCCGUGCCAGCAGCCGCGGUAAUACGGAGGAGGCAAGCGUUAUCCGGAAUUAUUGGGCGUAAAGCGUCCGUAGGUGGUUUAGUAAGUCUGCUGUUAAAGCGCGGGGCUUAGCUCCGUAUCGGCAGUGGAAACUACUAGACUAGAGUGUGGUAGGGGUAGAGGGAAUUCCCAGUGUAGCGGUGAAGUGCGUAGAUAUUGGGAAGAACACCGGUGGCGAAAGCGCUCUACUGGGCCAUAACUGACACUCAGGGACGAAAGCUAGGGUAGCGAAAGGGAUUAGAUACCCCUGUAGUC
rnacentral:rRNA from 1 species